ensembl:lncRNA LINC00499 long intergenic non-protein coding RNA 499
GGACAGGGCAGCUUAGGGGAAUAAGUCUCUGCAGCGUUGUAGUGAAGAGAGAAUACGGGACAACUGCAGGACCACAGCUCAGCCAAGAGCUCCCUUGCAGCUGAGUUGGCCAUAUGACUGACAGCAAGCCCUGGAAUGCAGCCAGAAGUGAUAGAAGCCUCUUUCACACCAUGCUCCUAAAAUAUUCCAAGAAAUUUUCCAAACCUACUCUUUUUAGUCUGUGCAUCUGGAAGUGAAAGUUUUAGAAAGGGUAAAGUCACUUAAUGGAAAGGGCCCAGAUCUAGCCCCUCGGAGCCAAGCUGUCCAACUAGAAAUUCUGCAUUAGUAUUUGCGACCCCAGUAAAAAAAAAAAAGUCCCACAAAGAUGUAGGAUCUCACUUUGCCUGCGUUAAUUCCCUGUCCUUUGCCCAGUUUCUCCUCUCUUGGAAGGCAGAGGCAGCUUCUGAUUUUGAUCACUUCAUGUCCAGAUGUACCUUCCACGACCCAGGACUGUCUUUCUCAACAACUUGGAAGCCAUCCCUUUGUAAUGUAAUGAUCAAGAAAAAUAGGGCCCAUGCCUACCUGUCUCCAUGGGAAGCAGAUCUUUGGAGAGAAAAUGCCAAGAGUGGAUGGAGAGGCAAUGGUGAAGCUGAGGCUGAAGUCGGAGGAAGCUGUGAACCCUGCAUGGGGUACCUGAACACCAGGGCAAGUUUCUGGCCCAGAAUGGCUUCUGGGAAAGGGGAUAUGACAUCUUAGGAAGAAGGGACUGGGGGAAAGAAAGCACUUUCUGCUUCUGUGGAUAUAAACACACAGUGUUUUAUUCCCUAGUGCAACAAAACCUCAAGAUCAACAGACAAGAGCUGAAAACCCUUUCCCACCAGACACAGUGCCAUCUAAAUGUUCUCUCAAAAGAUAGCAUCUCAUAAACAAUUUCAACAAAAGGAUGUCAGCUUUUACUUUAUGUGCAUGCACAAAAUCACUUUUCAGGAAAAAAAAUGACCAUUACCGAAUCCAUCAUAAAAUUAAUUACAUUUAGUUGAUCACGUUGGCUGACUGGUUAUAACUCUUGCUGUAUUUUCCAGAAGUGUGUUUCAUUUUAUUUAUCAUUAAAGGAAAAAAUAUUGUAGUUUUCCAAUAUACUGUCUAUUGGUGGUUCUCAAACUCCAGUGUAUGCCACAAUUGCCAAAGAAAUUUAACUAAAUGCAGAUUCCUUGGCACUGUCCCUCAAAAUUCCUAUUUACUUUUUCUGGUAUAAGGUACAGAUAAUUCUGAUUUACUUAAGCUAUGGUUUUAGAAACACUACACUCUAAUUCUAAUUAUUCAUGUUAGUUCUCAUGAAAAUAUUCACAUUAAUUCUAAUGAAAUAUAAUGUGACAAUACUAUAUGUAAGAAUUUCCUCCCUGACUUCAUUUUGAUAUGAAUAGGAGGCAGGGAAAUACUGGGUAGAAGGGGGCAGUUCCCCAGCAAAGGCCCCACCUGAACCCUGGAAACCCAUGGCCCUAAAUGGGAACAGGCAUUUCUGUUUUUGCACCCAAAUGUUGCCUUUUCCAAGACCAUUCUGGCCUGCCAUGCCCCUAUCCUGUGUCCAUAUAAACUCCAAGCUCCAGUGGCAAAGUGGCAGAAUGGCAUGACAGAGAAGCAGAGAAUAGAAGGAGUGUCUGAACAUCAGGAAGAUUUUGGCUGGGGACGGUCGGAGAGAGAUCAGCUGCAGGAUGACUGAACUCCAGGGGAAGAUCAUCUUCCCACUCCAUCCCCUUUCCAGGUCCCCAUCCAUCCCACUGAGAGCCACCCCCAUCACUCAAUAAAAUCCCCACAUUCACCAUCCUUCAAGUUCGUGUGACCUGAUUCUCUCUGGAUCCUGGACAAGGACCUGGGUACCAAGAGGGCAGGGUGUAAAAGGCUGUCACCCUGACUCUCCACUGAGCUGGAAUAGCCAUCCAUGGACAGCAACUGCUAAAAGAGCAUUAAGUGUAAUAUAUCCCUAGAUGCUAAAGUGGAGUUGGAGCCCAAGAGUGCUCACCCCAGCUCCUGCACCUGCCCAUCUGCAUGCUCCUACUCCCAUAAGGGGUUUGAGCAUGCAGUGGCCCAGCAAACAAGCCACAUCCCUGUUGCAAGUCCCACAACGGGGUCAGGGAACUCUCCCGUUUUAAUUUCAUUGGUAAUUUCCUAAAAUUGACUGUUGAUUCCUAUGUUCCUUUCAAUGGAUUGCUCUUUUGAGGAAAUUACAUAUUCAGAUUAUCUAAAUGAUGCUGUGAAGUCAUAAUUCUUGACAAAACUGAAGCAGGAAAAGAAAAGUGCCACAAAACUGGGGAGACAAGAAGUUCAUUGAAGAGCUGAUAAAAGCUAUGUGCCCCUUUCCAAGAAAAAAAUAAGGCACAUUCACACAAAUUUUACACCAUUUCAAUAGGUUCACAGACCUCAGACUAGAGAUUUCUAUCCUAAUGUGUUCAUAAGUCACAAAUUUAAAGGCAAAUUCUUAUUUGAGUUUAGGAAUAUGAAGGCAAUAUGUUCUGUCACACAGUGUGACUACAACUAAACGUAGUAUCAUGGAAGCUUCAUGAAACAUGAGGCAGGUCUUCCAGUUCUAAGAAACAUAAAAGACACUUGUUAACAAACAUGCCACUUCCAAACUUUCUGAUGUAAAAUAAAGUUUAGCAGCUAAUUAUUUCCUGUAAUUCAUGGAAGUAGCCAGAGCCGAUCAUUUUAAAUCCAAAAGUACAAGAAUUUAGGAAGGAAAAUGUUAAGAAUGGGAUAGAAACAGGAUGAGUUUUUGUAGUUGAUUUCUUAUAUUCCUGAAAUAAACCCCAAAAUCUCUAAUUUUGUUGAUACCUUAGUACUGUGUAAAGCAUUCUGUUAUGCGUUAGUGACUAAUUCUACAUGGACUGCCUAUUAUAUCAUAUGUAAUAAUUCAGCAAAACAGAAGACCACUAGCAAAGUCUAAGCAGAGCCAGAAAUUCCAUGAAGAUAUUAAGUUUGCUCAUCGUAUUUUAUCUAUCUGAUUGCACAAUUAGAGGAAUGGUGAGAUCAUGUCUACAAAGAAAAGUGAGCCUCUCUAAAGAAAGAUAUUACAAUAAUGCAAAGCAUUGCUUCACCAUCUUAAAAUGGAAUAUCAUUGCCAUCCAUUUAAAAAGUUCUAGGAGAAUUAAAUAAACUGAGAGUUUUUAAAAAGACUUUGUCCAGAGGCAAGGAUAGAUGAGGGACUAUUAAUCCAGACUGUGGCCAGUUGCUUAUUGUUUGUAAGAAACUAACACAAUAUUUAGUGGCUUAAAGUAACAAUUUGCUUAUGCUUCUGUGGGUCAGUAUUUUGGGCUGCAUUCAUCUGGAACAGUUUCAAUCUAUGCUCUAUGUGGUGUCAAUGGGGCUCACUCAUCUGUCUGAGGCCUCAGCUGGAACAAUGUGAAUGAUUGAGAUGACUGAGCUGUCUGGGUCUCUCUCCACAUGGUCUCUCAUUCCCCCAUAGACAGGGCUCCAAGAGGACUAAAACAAAACCUUCAAAGUCUCUUAAGACCUCAGCUCAGAUCUCACAUAGUGUCACUUCCACUGUAUUAUGUUGAUCAAAGGAAGCUACAAAGCCAGCCAACAGUGGGGAAAUAAACUCUACCUCUUCACAGGAGGAACUGCAAAUAAUUUGUGGCUGUUUUUAUCUAAGAAAGAUACUAUUCCGUAAAACUGUACUACAUACAAUGCAAGAUUUUUUUCUAAAUAGAAAAGAAAAUGCAUUUCAUUAAGAAACUAUUGACCUGAAUGCUAAAGAAUGAUAAGCGGGUAAAUGUACUUUGUGACAACUUGAUGAGCUGUUGUAUUUUGUUGGGGAUAGGAGGUGCAGAAAGAUGGAUGGAAUGCUAGACACAUGAUGUAUCCAUUUGGAUAAAUUAUUCUGGUAAGUUCCAAAAGCUAUAAGAAACUGUUACCUCUAAUUUUAAUAACUAUUGUUAAGUUGAUGGAUUAGCAAAUAUCAUGCCA